UACGUAGGGUGCGAGCGUUGUCCGGAAUUACUGGGCGUAAAGAGCUCGUAGGUGGUUUGUCGCGUUGUCCGUGAAAACUCACAACUCAAUUGUGGGCGUGCGGGCGAUACGGGCAGACUGGAGUACUGCAGGGGAGACUGGAAUUCCUGGUGUAGCGGUGGAAUGCGCAGAUAUCAGGAGGAACACCGGUGGCGAAGGCGGGU
rnacentral:rRNA from 1 species